rnacentral:rRNA from 1 species
UACGUAGGGGGCAAGCGUUGUCCGGAUUUAUUGGGCGUAAAGAGCGUGUAGGCGGCCAAACAGGUCAGCUGUGAAAACUCGAGGCUCAACCUCGAGACGUCGGUUGAAACCGUUUGGCUAGAGUCCGGAAGAGGAGAGUGGAAUUCCCGGUGUAGCGGUGAAAUGCGCAGAUAUCGGGAGGAACACCGGUGGCGAAGGCGGGUCUCUGGGCCGAUACUGACGCUGAGGAGCGAAAGCGUGGGGAGCGAACAGG